rnacentral:rRNA from 1 species
CAAAGAGAAGCGAAGCGGUGACGUGGAGCAAACCUCAGAAAGCCAAUCUCAGUUCGGAUUGUAGGCUGCAACUCGCCUACAUGAAGUUGGAAUCGCUAGUAAUCGCGAAUCAGAAUGUCGCGGUGAAUACGUUCCCGGGUCUUGUACACACCGCCCGUCACACCACGAGAGUUUACAACACCCGAAGUCAGUGGCCUAACCGCAAGGAGGGAGCUGCCUAAGGUGGGGUAGAUGAUUGGGGUGAAGUCGUAACAAGGUACC